CACAAGUCUUGAAAGAUUUCCUGCCUGAGACUCAGUCUGACUGCUCUUUUUCCGUUCAGCUGUCAUACAAGAAACAAAGUAUACGGUCACAGAUGAGUUGCAGAGACCCUUUCUGUCACAGCAGGAUGUCAAGGAAAAGAAUCAGUGAAAACAAGCCCUUAGGUCACAUUUUUGAAGUGACUACUAAGACAGCAGUGAU